AUUGAACGCUGGCGGCAGGCCUAACACAUGCAAGUCGAGCGGAGGAAGGGAGCUUGCUCCUGGAUUCAGCGGCGGACGGGUGAGUAAUGCCUAGGAAUCUGCCUGGUAGUGGGGGAUAACGUCCGGAAACGGGCGCUAAUACCGCAUACGUCCUGAGGGAGAGAGUGGGGGAUCUUCGGACCUCACGCUAUCAGAUGAGCCUAGGUCGGAUUGGUUGUUUGGUGGGGUAAAGGCCUACCAAGGCGACGAUCCGUAACUGGUCUGAGAGGAUGAUCAGUCACACUGGAACUGAGCACCGGUCCAGACUCCUACGGGAGGCAGCAGUGGGGAAUAUUGGACAAUGGGCGAAAGCCUGAUCCAGCCAUGCCGCGUGUGUGAAGAAGGUCUUCGGAUUGUAAAGCACUUUAAGUUGGGAGGAAGGGCAGUAAGUUAAUACCUUGCUGUUUUGACGUUACCAACAGAAUAAGCACCGGCUAACUUCGUG
rnacentral:rRNA from 1 species